AAAAGGAGGAGAAAGAGGAGAAGCUGGAAGGCGAUGCAGCUCUGAACAAACUUUUCCGGGAUAUAUAUAAGGAUGCAGACCCAGAUACACGACGGGCAAUGAGCAAAUCUUUUGUGGAGUCAAACGGAACUGUGCUGUCUACUAACUGGAAGGAAGUGGGCUCGAAGAAGGUGGUGGGGAGCACUCCUCAAGGGAUGGAGAUGAAGAAAUGGGA
rnacentral:misc_RNA from 1 species